UGUUUCCGCGGAGACGACGCGGGAGGCCAAGGCGGAAGUAGCUUGGGCGUGUGGGCGGAGCUAAGCGCAGCCAUGUCGGCGGCCCUGCUGCGGCGGGGCCUGGAGCUUCUGGGGGCGCCCGAGGCCCCCGGCGCCGCGCCCGGCCAGACCAAGCCCACUGGGCCUCCGGGCAAGCGGUCCCGGAAGGCGAAGGCGACCCAGGCCCAGAAACUGCGGAACUCAGCCAAGGGAAAGGUGCCCAAGUCCGCGCUGGCCGAGUUCCAGAAGCGAGAGCGUCGAGGCUACCUGGGGGUGAACCUGAAGUUUAUGACCAGUGCCAGAAGUGCCGUGGCGGAGUCCGUCACCCAGCAGAUUGUGCGUCAGAACCGGGGCCGAAAAGCCUGUGACCGGCCUGUGGCCAAGACGAAGAAGAAGAAGAAGGCCGAGGGCCCCGUGUUCACCGAGGAAGACUUCCAGAAGUUCCAGCAGGAGUACUUCGGCAGCUAGGCUCCUGGGGGGCGGCGCAGUGGGCGAGGCGCUCACGCCCAGCCGCCGCCUCUGACCUCACAGCCUCUGCCGGCCCCAGGCCCCCACUGUGGACGGUGCAGCCAGCAGACAGCAACCCACGGCCAGCCCAGCUCAAGGAAGCCCCAGAGCUGGAGCCAGGCGGGGCUGCAGUGGAGCUGGAAGCCUGGGGAGGGUUUACAUUCAGACUGGAGCUCACAUCUGCAGGCUGGGGAGGAGGCCCUGCCAGAAAGGAACAUUUCUGACUCUGCUUUGGCCCAGGUGUCGAGUGACAAGGUGGCCUCCCAAGGAGGAUGAGAGCAGGGCCUCUGCUGCUUCUCUGCUUCAGCCUGCUGUGACCCCCCUCCACGGUGGAUGCCUAGCCUCGGACAGUCCUGACUCCUGGAGCUCUCGCUUUCCCCUUGGUCUGAGCUCUACCUGCUGUGCCUCCAGUGGACUGUGAGCGCCCUCCUCGCCCCAUGUGGUCCCUGACGCGGGUGCUGGCACUCGAGUGCCUCUGCAGGGACUUUCAGCUGGACCCUCUCCUGGUUCCCGGUCUCUGUGUCCACUGCCUUCUCGCCAUCCCCCCUGCGUGUCUAAGAGACACCUCCAACCCCCCCGUGAUGACUGAGCCCACCCUCUGCCAGCAUCAAAACACUUAAAUAAAACCCUGCU